GCAGCGAUGUCCGAGUGGUUGAGAAGAUUGGCUUGAAAUCAAUAGGGCUGUGCCAGCGUAGGUUCGAAUGCCGCUUUCUGCG
rnacentral:tRNA from 1 species